rnacentral:misc_RNA from 1 species
GAUGAAGAACGUAGCGAAAUGCGAUACGUAAUGUGAAUUGCAGAAUUCAGUGAAUCAUCGAAUCUUUGAACGCAUAUUGCGCUCUCUGGUAUUCCGGAGAGCAUGCUUGUUUGAGUAUCAGUAAACACCUCAACUCCCCUUUCUUUUUUUGAAAUGGGAGCUGGACUUGAGUGAUCCCAACGCUUUUCUCACCGAAAAGUGGCGGGUUACUUGAAAUGCAGGUGCAGCUGGACUUUUCUCUGAGCUAAAAGCAUAUCUAUUUAGUCUGCUUAAAAAACAGAUUAUUACCUUUGCUGCAGCUAACAUAAAGGAGAUUAGUUCUUGUGCUGACUGAUGCAGGAUUCACAGAGACAGCUUCGGCUGGCCUUUGUAAACUCGAUCUCAAAUCAAGUAAGACUACCCGCUGAACUUAAGCAUAUCAAUAAGCGGAGGA